UAAAUUUGAAAAAUUCUUAUAAAUAAAAGUUGGAGUUAAGAAAGAUGAAUUAAUGGUAAAUUAAGAAAAGUUCAAAGAUUGGAAAACUCCUUUAUCAUCUUGGUUUCAAUUAUUUUUAAGGGAGUGGUAGAUGCUUUUAGUAGCAUUUUUUUCUUUUUCUCUUCUCUCAAUCUUUUCUUUUUCUCUAUUUUCUUUCUUAUUCCUCUUUCUCUCUUUGUUCUUUCUCUCUUUUGCUUGCUUCUCUUUCUCUCUUUUCUUAUAUUCCUUUCUCUAUCUUUUAUACUCCUUCCUCUUAACUUCUUCCUUUUUUUUCUUUUCUUUGUAACUCUCUUAAUUGUUCAUCUCUUAUUCUUUUAAUCUCUCCUUUUCUCUUUGCACUCAAGAGCUUCUUUUACUUUUUCUUCAAAUUCAUCUCUUUCAAAGAAUUCAUUUACACUUUUAAUGAAUGCUUUUCCAAUUUUAAUGAGUUCUCCAAUCUCAUAUCUUAGCUCUUGGUUACUCUCAAAUGAAGAAGGAAGAAAUUUUUUUCUCAUGUAUGCUCUAAAAUCAUACAAAUUUUCUUUUAAGUGCAAAAACAAAACCACUACACACC
rnacentral:lncRNA from 1 species